GGAGUAAAGUUAAUACCUUUGCUCAUUGACGUUACCCGCAGAAGAAGCACCGGCUAACUCCGUGCCAGCAGCCGCGGUAAUACGGAGGGUGCAAGCGUUAAUCGGAAUUACUGGGCGUAAAGCGCACGCAGGCGGUUUGUUAAGUCAGAUGUGAAAUCCCCGGGCUCAACCUGGGAACUGCAUCUGAUACUGGCAAGCUUGAGUCUCGUAGAGGGGGGUAGAAUUCCAGGUGUAGCGGUGAAAUGCGUAGAGAUCUGGAGGAAUACCGGUGGCGAAGGCGGCCCCCUGGACGAAGACUGACGCUCAGGUGCGAAAGCGUGGGGAGCAAACAGGAUUAGAUACCCUGGUAGUCCACGCCGUAAACGAUGUCGACUUGGAGGUUGUGCCCUUGAGGCGUGGCUUCCGGAGCUAACGCGUUAAGUCGACCGCCUGGGGAGUACGGCCGCAAGGUUAAAACUCAAAUGAAUUGACGGGGGCCCGCACAAGCGGUGGAGCAUGUGGUUUAAUUCGAUGCAACGCGAAGAACCUUACCUGGUCUUGACAUCCACGGAAGUUUUCAGAGAUGAGAAUGUGCCUUCGGGAACCGUGAGACAGGUGCUGCAUGGCUGUCGUCAGCUCGUGUUGUGAAAUGUUGGGUUAAGUCCCGCAACGAGCGCAACCCUUAUCCUUUGUUGCCAGCGGUCCGGCCGGGAACUCAAAGGAGACUGCCAGUGAUAAACUGGAGGAAGGUGGGGACGACGUCAAGUCAUCAUGGCCCUUACGACCAGGGCUACACACGUGCUACAAUGGCGCAUACAAAGAGAAGCGACCUCGCGAGAGCAAGCGGACCUCAUAAAGUGCGUCGUAGUCCGGAUUGGAGUCUGCAACUCGACUCCAUGAAGUCGGAAUCGCUAGUAAUCGUGGAUCAGAAUGCCACGGUGAAUACGUUCCCGGGCCUUGUACACACCGCCCGUCACACCAUGGGAGUGGGUUGCAAAAGAAGUAGGUAGCUUAACCUUCGGGAGGGCGCUUACCACUUUGUGAUUCAUGACUGGGGUGAAGUCGUAACAAGGUAACCGUAGGGGAACCUGCGGUUGGAUCACCUCCUUACCUUAAAGAAGC
rnacentral:rRNA from 1 species